rnacentral:rRNA from 1 species
CACGUAGGGCGCAAGCGUUGUCCGGAAUUAUUGGGCGUAAAGAGCUCGUAGGCGGUCUGUUGCGUCCGCUGUGAAAACUCGGGGCUUAACCCCGAGCCUGCAGUGGAUACGGGCAGACUAGAGGUAGGUAGGGGAGAAUGGAAUUCCCGGUGUAGCGGUGAAAUGCGCAGAUAUCGGGAGGAACACCGGUGGCGAAGGCGAGUCCCUGGACAACUUCUGACGCUGAGGCACGAAAGCUAGGGGAGCAAACAGG